rnacentral:rRNA from 1 species
UUCGGGAAACCGGAGCUAAUACCGGAUAAUAUUUUGAACCGCAUGGUUCAAAAGUGAAAGACGGUCUUGCUGUCACUUAUAGAUGGAUCCGCGCUGCAUUAGCUAGUUGGUAAGGUAACGGCUUACCAAGGCAACGAUGCAUAGCCGACCUGAGAGGGUGAUCGGCCACACUGGAACUGAGACACGGUCCAGACUCCUACGGGAGGCAGCAGUAGGGAAUCUUCCGCAAUGGGCGAAAGCCUGACGGAGCAACGCCGCGUGAGUGAUGAAGGUCUUCGGAUCGUAAAACUCUGUUAUUAGGGAAGAACAUAUGUGUAAGUAACUGUGCACAUCUUGACGGUACCUAAUCAGAAAGCCACGGCUAACUACGUGCCAGCAGCCGCGGUAAUACGUAGGUGGCAAGCGUUAUCCGGAAUUAUUGGGCGUAAAGCGCGCGUAGGCGGUUUUUUAAGUCUGAUGUGAAAGCCCACGGCUCAACCGUGGAGGGUCAUUGGAAACUGGAAAACUUGAGUGCAGAAGAGGAAAGUGGAAUUCCAUGUGUAGCGGUGAAAUGCGCAGAGAUAUGGAGGAACACCAGUGGCGAAGGCGACUUUCUGGUCUGUAACUGACGCUGAUGUGCGAAAGCGUGGGGAUCAAACAGGAUUAGAUACCCUGGUAGUCCACGCCGUAAACGAUGAGUGCUAAGUGUUAGGGGGUUUCCGCCCCUUAGUGCUGCAGCUAACGCAUUAAGCACUCCGCCUGGGGAGUACGACCGCAAGGUUGAAACUCAAAGGAAUUGACGGGGACCCGCACAAGCGGUGGAGCAUGUGGUUUAAUUCGAAGCAACGCGAAGAACCUUACCAAAUCUUGACAUCCUUUGACAACUCUAGAGAUAGAGCCUUCCCCUUCGGGGGACAAAGUGACAGGUGGUGCAUGGUUGUCGUCAGCUCGUGUCGUGAGAUGUUGGGUUAAGUCCCGCAACGAGCGCAACCCUUAAGCUUAGUUGCCAUCAUUAAGUUGGGCACUCUAAGUUGACUGCCGGUGACAAACCGGAGGAAGGUGGGGAUGACGUCAAAUCAUCAUGCCCCUUAUGAUUUGGGCUACACACGUGCUACAAUGGACAAUACAAAGGGCAGCGAAACCGCGAGGUCAAGCAAAUCCCAUAAAGUUGUUCUCAGUUCGGAUUGUAGUCUGCAACUCGACUACAUGAAGCUGGAAUCGCUAGUAAUCGUAGAUCAGCAUGCUACGGUGAAUACGUUCCCGGGUCUUGUACACACCGCCCGUCACACCACGAGAGUUUGUAACACCCGAAGCCGGUGGAGUAACCUUUUAGGAGCUAGCCGUCGAAGGUGGGACAAAUGAUUGGGGUGAAGUCGUAACAAGGUAGCCGUAUCGGAAGGUGCGGCUGGAUCACCUCCUUU